UGGGAUUUUUAUGAUUUGGAGAAACGGAAACUUUGACACAAAGAUAAGAUUAUUUUUUGGCAGCUAGGAACGGAGAAGGGAAUGCUUGAAAUGGUGUAAUUAGAGAACACUUCAGACAAGAUACAACUAGAGAAGAAGACUCGAGGGAUUAAGGGAAAUGGAUCGAUAACUUGGAAGAAACUAGUUGCAAUGAGAAACCAGUUAUAUUUCAAAAAAAAAAAAAAAGAGAAGAUUCCAGCUAAGUAAAGAGAGAUAAUCUCGACAGAGACAGGCAGCCCAAAAAGAAAAGAAUUGAA